CAACAGCUCUAGCAGUACUAAUAGUGCCAGUACAUCAAUGAUCAAUUUGCAAACAAAUCUUUCUGAUGCUGAGGUUAAAAUGACUUCCUUUCAGAAGACUUAGACUUUCACUUCAUUUUAAAAUGAAAAAAGAACUUCUUUUCUUUUGUAACAUCUGCCUCAUUUUUCCUCUUUGUUGGUUUUUUUUUCUUAUUUAUUUUAUUUAGUAGAAUAGAUACUUAAUCAUAGAAUGGCUUGAACUGGAAGAGACCUCAAAGUACCGCCUGACACAACACUUUUUUCCCCUCUGAAGAUCCCCAGUUGCUGUAGCAUCUCUCCAAGGCUAUAACGGACAUUAAUGUUUCUGUUUCGUGUUUAUAGAACGAAGAAGGACAUCUUGUAAAGGCACCUUUUCAUGUGCGGAGAGACCAUAAAAAUGAGACAAGAAGUAGAUGGCUUUUCCAGCCAGAAGACUCAGCCACUGAAAUUUAAGACCUAAUUAGAUCUGUCAAAGCACCUUGGAAGCAUUAAACCACUAAAGUACUUAAGCUGAUGACUCAUGUAAAUCAUACUCUACCUUUGCAAUAAGGUCUCACCUACACCACAAAUACAACAUGGGAAAGGGAUCUGUUUACAACAGGGUUACUCCACCAGAACGAGACUCCAGAAUGUUAAAGAGAAUCACAAAUGCACAUGGAAAAUGCUACACUAACCAUCAAAUUUCUGCUCCCAGAGACCUCUGUUUACUGAACUGCACCCAGACCCCACGAGCUCGGAAUACGCCAACAUAAGUGUGCAGGUCAAACCAAGAGGUUUCGUCCCAGAAGAACAAACUUCUGGCAAAAGGCAUGGAUUAAGGAAAAAAGCUGAAGUUGGCCAGAAAUGGUGGGUAAGUACAGCCAGGCAUAGUGAUAGAGAAAGAUAAGUACUCAGCAGAUGAUUGAGCUGUAUGUUUGUCCCGUUGGAGUAUGAUGGCACAGCUGCUGAGAGAAGCUUGAAGCCUCCUUUGCCCUUUAAGCACAUCUUCCCAUGAAGAACACCAAGAUUUUCUUACACCUUUAGGUCAUUCCUGUGUUUUGGUGCUCACUCUCCUUGUGUGAAAGGACCCCAAACCAUUUAUGCUCCAACUCCCAUUGGGACAAAGCUCCAAAAAGUGUGAUAAUCCUCUGUCACACACAAUACCCGUGCCUGAAAAGGCACUACAUCUAAGGCCACCUGAGUGAUUUGGGUUUGAAGUUUCAGCCAGGGCUGAUAUAGGAGCACAACACCUUGCCACUGUAGUAAACUGUGAGCAAAUCUCUCUGCUUAUUCCCCCCAGUCCUUCGCUCUAACUUGUUCUUAUUUAACUCAAAUAGCCUGAGAGCAUCCCCUGCCCUGCGGGCUACAGCCAGUCACAUCACUCUGCUCUUUCUCUCCCUGCUGCCAGACCUGCUUUAAGCCCACUUUGUACCAGGUGUGUUAUCUAAAUUAGAGACCCUCCCACUUAAAUUAGUAACAAACAAAACCUAAUUGCCUUGUAAAUAAACACCCUCCCUCCCAGACA
rnacentral:lncRNA from 1 species